UGGUGAUGAGGAUAGUUAUUGCACACUAAUUUUACCAAUAGAAAGGGCAUUUUCUAGCCUUGAAGGAAUAGACUGUGUAAUCUAUGUCAUUAGAAUCGAAUGCUUAUCCUCUUGAAAAUCCUGCAUAUGAAGGAUUCUCUCCUAUUAUUCUAUUUAACAAGUGCAUUUCCAGGCAUUAUUUGAAGUUAAGUAACGGCUGAGUCUUUUUUUCUGAAAUGUCCAUACUGGUAAUAAUAAACUAUAUAUUUCUCUUUAUGAAAAUAGAAAAGGUGUUGAUGGAACAAGAGUGGCUUAUUCCAAUUGGUGAUUAAUUCUGCAACUGUAGACACAUGUAAACAUCAGCUGGUGUUUAAUUGAGGGUUAAAAAAAAAAAAAAAAAGCAUUACAGUGGGUAAAAUGGAGAUCUAGGGGGGGCGGGGCCGGGCGGCCAUGCAAGCAGGCUGCAAGACACCAUGGCUCCUGAGGAAUUCAACUAAAAAUGGGCACAUACCCACUUUACUCAGCAUGGAUCACCCUGGAAGUUCAUGGUACGGGGUCCUGGAGUGUCCCGGUGCAGCUGGAGCACCUGAUUUCGGGUGAAUCUGGGUCCUGGUGAGAUGCUCCGGGGCUUGGAAUCUGAGGCCUAUCCGGGAGGGGAGUGGGGCGGACGGCCGCUGCCUCACUCUCUGAUCCGGCUAAUGAACAGCACAAUUGUGGCCGCCCCGGCACCGUUCACCCCCCCUCUGGACCGGCGGGGACUAUCCCGGUCCCCACCAGGCACAUAAAUACCUGCAGUGCCCCUGGGCGACUCAACGCCGACAACUAAAGGCUACCACGCGGACCCAACAAAAUGGCCGACAGCGACGCAUUUAGCUAACAGGCCAUCAGAGAAGAACCUCGCAUGGCGCGCUGAACCUCACAACACACAGCGAGAGUCAAGACAGCCUCUGGAGUUAUUCUGCAAUGGCAACCCCCCAGCAGCAGGCGUGUGCCUACCCCAACUGUGCACACCCCACCGGAGCUCCCUAUAACUAAGACCACAGACUAACACUGAGUGAGUACCCGGAAAGAUCAUCCACACACAACAACUCCAUCACUCCGCUACCCGCACCUGGACACUGUAGCCAAUAAAGCACCACACCCGUACUCACUUACCGACCGGGUGGUGGGAACACGGCGAUGCAUGGACACUUUGCCCUGCAGCGGGUGCUCGGGACUCAAAGGACUCUGGGGUGCCUGUGCCUGUGCCGGAAAGCGGGAUCCCUACUGGAGCCAUUCCUGAAGCCGACAGCUGCCGCAUGACGGAAGGCGACUAAGGCGCACACCACAGGACUCAUCACCGACAGCCUUAACAGAAGACACCCUGGCUGUAGUAACCACUAAACUGACUUAUCUGCUGCCAACAGUUGAGGUUACAGUACAUGUUGGUUUCGACACCUUGCUUAUCGCUGUCAAUAACCCAGUAAGCCACAGUCUGCCUGGUGGUACAUUACCUAAGCGAGUACCUUAACUAAGCUAUUCUUCUAUAAAAGCGCCCGUAUACACAUCAGUAAUCUAUACACUUAAAUAAGUGCGCAUUCAGUCUCUGGUCCCCAGCAGACCCCUAGCGUAAUCCCUUAGAAUGAGCGAUGAUUGUACUUAAAUAUUAGCAACAUGAUUUAAAGAGCCCAAGUAUACUAAUAUCUAUUCUUAAAGCGAGCCAGGUAAUCACUGUGCGUACCCUGCUUUGCCAACACUUAUGAGCUCUCUCCACUGUGACACCUAUUGAACCUGUUAAUUAAAACCCAAACUGUGCAGUGAAACAGACAUAUGUUAAUGUUAUGCUCUCUCAUGAUCAAUGUCUAUGUACAUCUGUAAACCUUGCAAUGCACAACAAAAAUAAAGAAUUAUAAAAUGGAGAUCUAAAAUGUGUUCUUUUUUCUGGUUUCCUUUGUAGUAGGCAAGCUUUAAAGGUUGUAAUGUUCCUAUGGAUUUCUAAAAGUAAUUUACUGUAAACUAAGUAUAAUUCACCUAGAGUAAACUGGGAUGUAGGAAUUUGGAGCAUUUGUUUUAUGGGUUGACUGAUGUUUAAUUUUACAGUUUUCCUAUAAUAAAAUCUUACUUGAUUUAAAAAAAAAAAAAU